rnacentral:lncRNA from 1 species
CUUGGAUCCUCUUCCUCCCCUCUCUAUAAAAAGAGGAUCUCUACCUCUGAGAGUGACUGUGAGGUUGAAAAAAAGUAUGUCCAACAUUAUGGGAGUUGUUCAAUACAUAUUCAUUUCAUCCUUUUCUCAUGAAUCUUUUCCUCUUCUUGACUUUAUGAUUCAGUACUUCCUGGAAUUCUCAGGCACUAGAAGUUUUCCAGAGAGCUUAAACUGCUUAAUUAGCUUCUGAGCUCUUCCAGCAUCUUUCUGAGAGAGGUGAGUGGUAGAGAUGGAUCAGAAAUCAGACAAACUGGGCUUUGCUUGCUGGCCCAGCAGAACGCCCUCACAUGCCAUUUCCCCCCUGUUCUCAUGGGGCAAGAAUGGGAUUGUAUCAAACAAGGGACUCUCCACCAAGACGCUCCACGCAGCAUAUGGAAUCAGUGUGGCCUGUGGCCAUUGCUUGUGCACCUUGCUGCCUGCAGAGUCAUCUAUGAGGGCCUGAAAUCUCCUAAAGUGUUGGGACUGGGGUCCAACAAGAGGCCGUGGGAAGAGCAGACAUCAGCUGGCUGGUACACAUCCCUGCAUGGCCUGGAGCCUCGGGGCCCCUCAAGUAUACAAGUCAUUGCUGUGUCUGUUCCCAUCAGCCAAUGGAUUUUUAGGAUUCGCUGGAUCACAUUCGACCGUGGUCAUUUAGACAGUCAAAACAAGGAUAUACCAUGUGAAGCCCUAACUAACUGAGGAAGAAGGAAGAACACAUUCCCUGGUCGGGCCUGAGCCAAAGCCAUGAGGCCCAAGGAAAUGCAAGUUCAUGGAAAUUAGAAAUAAUACCGAAAUGUGGAUGAGACCAGCUUUAGAGGUUUCAUGGAAUUCGCAGAAUGUGAUUGUCUGCAGUGAUUUUUGGCGUUCUCAGUUUGCCAAGCCAGGUAUACCAUUUUGUCUAGCCCAUCUAACAAUUUUGGUGGUAACUGUCGAGGUUGAAGAGAGUUGUCAUAGAGUGGUGAAGCCCAAACAACUGAAAUGUUUACAGUACACAAAGCAAAACAGCCAACAUUACUGGGUGAUACAGACUCUUCAUUUAUCACUUAACUAGUACACAGUGUGCCAGUGUAACUCACUACGCAGCACUGCGAACAUGCCCAGUCAUGCCUUCCUUUGUUCGCGCGUCCAUUCAUGCCUUCAAUGAUAUUAAGCACCUACUAUGAACCAGGAGGCACCCUGGUAAAUGCUGGAGUUACAAAGUUAAAGAUUAAGGCCCAUACUCUGCCCACAGGGAGCUCCCAAUCUAUCUUGCAAGAGAGAUAAGGAAAUGAAGAAUGACAAUGCACCAUGAGAAGUGCAGGUAAGAAAAGUCUGUUCGAAGUGAGUCCCAACCGUGGAUUCAUUCUCCUACAGGUUCCAUGGCGCAGCUAAGUGACACUUCUCCCCCAUCUUCAGAAUAAGGAAUGCUUGACAUAGUUUCAAUCAGUCUUUCAUUUCCAGUGUUACUUGGGGAGCCACAGCAUUACGACAAGUUGCAACAGACUCAGACACGGUUAUGGGGUUCACACUGCCGGACACACAGGGGACACGGUUUGUCAUUGCAGUUGUGGCUGACGGCUUCGUUCACUUGACAGAUAGUUACUGAGGAGCCAGGAAGUGCUCACCACUCCCAGAUUUCCUCCCAGGCUGUCCAGGUGGGCCGCUCUGCCCUUGGCAUAUGCCCUUGAGGUCUGCACCCACUUGGCCGGCUGCAGAUUUGUGGUCUUGAGGGUCUUCAAAGGAAGGCCUUCUCUUCAACUUUCAAAUCUAAGCCUUAACAUUUCAAGGCCCACUUCUUGCUCCAGAAGCAUUUGCUUUUCCUUUGUCAUUUGUGCUUUGGGUGAAAACGUGGAGUCUGUAGGUCUUGCUUAACAAAGGACUGACUCCCAUUUCGUACAGUGUGCAAACGUCCAGCCACAGGCAUUAAAAGGAGGAACAGAUAACCUGCCCCCUGCCCCCUCCCCUUUCUCCUCGGUCUCAGACCUGUGUUCUUGUCCACAGGGUUAGUGGCAAGAAAUGAAUUCGAGACGUGAGUUUCAGCUUCCGAGUCAGACUGUACGUGUAUCACUUUAUACUGGUAACAAUAAAGGGUGGUUUUACAAAUGGUCUUUUUAAUGC